rnacentral:rRNA from 1 species
UACGAAGGGGGCUAGCGUUGUUCGGAAUUAUUGGGCGUAAAGGGCGCGUAGGCGGUGCCACAAGUCACCUGUGAAAUCUCCGGGCUUAACUCGGAGCCUGCAGGCGAAACUGUGGUGCUGGAGUAUGGGAGAGGUGCGUGGAAUUCCCGGUGUAGCGGUGAAAUGCGCAGAUAUCAGGAGGAACACCAAUGGCGAAGGCAGCACUCUGGGACGGUACUGACGCUGAGACGCGAAAGCGUGGGGAGCAAACAGG